rnacentral:tRNA from 1 species
GGGGAUUUAGCUCAGUGGUUCGGGCGUCUGCCUCGAAAGCACAUGGGCCCAAGUUCAAUCCCCG